rnacentral:rRNA from 1 species
UUGGGAAUCUUCCGCAAUGGACGCAAGUCUGACGGACCAACGCCGCGUGAGUGAAGAAGGAUUUCGGUUCGUAAAACUCUGUUUUUAGAGAAGAACAGCGCAUAGAGUAACUGUUAUGCGUGUGACGGUAUCUAACCAGAAAGCCACGGCUAACUACGUGCCAGCAGCCGCGGUAAUACGUAGGUGGCCAGCGUUGUCCGGAUUUAUUGGGCGUAAAGCGAGCGCAGGCGGUCAAUUAAGUCUGAGGUGAAAGCCCCCGGCUCAACCGGGGAGGGUCGUUGGAAACUGGUUGCCAUGAGUGCGGGAGAGGAGGGUGGAAUUCCAGGUGUGGCGGUGAAAUGCGUAGAUAUAUGGAGGAACGCCAGUGGAGAAGGCGACUCUCUGGUCUGUAACUGACGCUGAGGCUCAAAAGCGUGGGUAGCAAACAGG